AGGGACAAAAAUAAGAGGGGUCCAUGUUGGAAAUAUUUUCAGAAUAAAUAAAAUAAGUGGGUUAAAAAAUAAAUCAAAGUUGAAAAUAAAAUAUGGUAAAAAUAAAUAAAAUGAAAAUGGAAAGAACAAAAAAGAAAUAGAAUGCACGCGCUGGGGGUUGAUCCCCCAUGACCAACCUUUCUCCCAUUGGGCCAACCGCUCGCUUGUGCAAGCAAACG
rnacentral:lncRNA from 1 species